rnacentral:sRNA from 1 species
AGAGGAGAACCCCGUCACGAACGACGUGAGUGAUUUAGGAUGAGUUCGACGAACUGCCGCCGAGCGAAUGCGAGGGGGCGAUACCUU